AUUCUGUAUCCUUUCUACUAUGAAAUACCUCAAUUCAGACAAAUUCAUUCCUGCAAAACCUUCUAACUUCUGUAGCUUGUGUUAGAUAUCUGGGGUCCACUGCAUAAGGUACAACUUUUUGGUUCCUGUAGGUUGUCUUGUCCAAGGAACACGAAUAUAACUUUCCUCAUGAUGAGGCAGGAAACCCAGAAAAGGCUCAGAUCACCUGGGCUCUAUCAGGUGGGCAGGUCUCUAUAGACAGAAUCUG